rnacentral:lncRNA from 9 species
CCCGCCGCACCCCCACGGAAGGGGGAGACCUCGGGUCUCUGCCAGAUCCCCCCCGCAAGCCCUGAGCCCCAGGCGCUCGCGGCAGUGCGCAGGCGCCGCCGCGAAGGCUGGCCCGAGAACUUUCCUCCCUGUGCGGGCACCUCUCCACGCGGGCAGGUGGCAGCCGCGCCGCUCCGGUCGCCGACGCUCCUCAGGGCCCCGCGGAGCCCCCUUGGCAGGACCACGCGGGCUGUGGUAUCCCCGGUGACCAAGGCCAUCUUCGUGGCUCUGUUCCUCUUGGCUGUGCUGCUCAUCCUCUACGUGAUCCUGUGGUACAUUUGCCGGGACGUGGACAACGACUACAUCUGAAGCAGCUCCUCCAGCAGCCUGUCACCUCCCAGGAAACGGAGUCACAGCUGAUUGGCUACCUCCGAUGUGCCAGGCGGUGUGGCGGCCCUUGACACGAUUCAGGAAUGAAACCCCAUGUUUGCCGGGGUUGAUUUGGGAGCCGAAGCCUGCAGCCGACACUUCACUGCCACCUUGGCAACUCUAGGUAAGGCACUAAGUCUGUAAAUAAUUUUGGGUUUGUUUUUUCCUUUUUUGGCUGCCCUGCACGUUUGGAGUUCCCAGGUCAGGGAU